UCCGCCAAACCCCGACCCUUACGUGUAAAAGGUCAUUUCUUUCAGACAAAUGGCUUGGGUCCUGCCUCGAGCCCCGCCGCACUUAAACAUCUGGGAGAGGGCGGUCAGGGUGGUAAGAGCCCUCUCAUAUGGACGGUGCAAAACGGUGGAAACGGCUACUGUCUCCCCAGGUGGACUUAGAUGCCACCAGAUCCUGCUUGUUGGCUACCUGCCAUCGAAGUCAGUGAUCCCCCCCUCUCUGGAAGACAUGCCUCAGUCAAGAGAGAGCGGUUGCUCCUUUCAGAGUACAGCAACUCGGAGAUGAAACAAGUCCUUCUCAAGUUGAAAACAUCAAGGAGUUUGCUAUUGGAAAUUGUCUUUGAUUAACCAGUUUUCUGUUGAUACUUCCUGCUUUAUCAUUAUUUUGACUUUAUUAUUCAUGAGCUACCUUUAAGAUACUGUAAGAGUAGUGUUCUAGCCAUGGUCGUUUAAGGAUAUAAGUAAGACUAGAAUUGUCCAAGGUAAUCAGGGGUUGUAGAUGUUAAGUCUGAUGGUGAUGACCUUCGCGCAUAAGCAUUUUAAGUAGCUCCCAUCAGUUAGUCAACUUUUUUUUUUGUGUGUGUGUGUUCUGUAAAUUCUAUUUCAAAGAACAUAUUUCAGUGUCUUUUUUGUUUUAGUUACAAUAUGUAUUAUGGUUGUGGUAUAGUUUUUCUCCAUGUAUUUGAUGCAUUUGCUUGAUGAAUCAUUCAGAGAUAAGAGACCUGACCUAAAAUCCAAUACUGUCAGUAAGAAUUUCCUAUGCACUUAAAAGGAAAUAGAGCUAGGCUCUGAAGAAGUUACCAUGACUUUCAUGAGCUGCUGUUAUUCCAAGAAGCUGUUACAAUAUUGCUCUUAUAUCAUGUAAUGCAGCCUUUGUAAGUUGGUAAUAUUAAGCAAGACAACGAAUUUUGGGAUUAUCUCCAGAAUAGAAACUCACUUUUUCCAAGUAUGUGAUUUAAUUUAGGUUUUUAAUAUUUUCUAAGGAAGUGUAACUGGAAAAGGAAAUCCAGACUGGUUUUAUUUCUCUGUGUAUUUGGUACUUUUUUUUUGUUGUUCUGACAGUGACCAGUUGAUACAAAAUGACUAGGUACCCAUCUUUAACUCAUUUUGUAUUUUACCUAUCGCAAGUGUAGGUGGUGCAUCUUGAAGAAAUGCAGGAGGAAACAUUUUCUGGAGAAUUAUUUAACAACUCAGUUCCAUUGCAUUUUCCAAAGUUAAAAAAAAUGUGGACAGUAUUUGCAGGUCAUAUUCUUUUAGGUUUUACUUAUGACAAUAAAAACAACCACUGUUUUUU